UUCUACAACAUACAUCCAGUACUUUAGAUUAUGGCACUAUCAAUCCCCUUUGUUUGGUCAGUACUUGGUAUCAGCCCUGUAUCAAUGGUACAUCUUUAAUCAAUAACAAACAAAACUUCCAUGGCACAGAUCUCAUGCCAGAAAGCUGUAAGACAAACCAUUUUUUUUUCCAUGUUUUGAUUACCACAAUAAAUUAAAGUGAAUUUUGAUUGGCAUUGCAAACUCAGAAAAGAAAUUGCAGAAUUUUAGAGCUCAAGGGCACAGCUAAGCUCUAGAAUGACCUAAGAUUUGGAUACAGGAACAUUAUAAAGGCAUUUGGCCACACUGACCUUUAACAAAGUCAUAGUCAUAGAUAUGCAUUGCUUGAUAGCAGGAGGUACAUGAUUCCAGAAAAAAGCCUGCCCUCCCAAAAUCAUGUUCCAACACAUGUAUCAUUUUAAGAAAAUAAGCAUAAUUUUUUCAGAAGACAUAUUUGUUACUCUUUAGAUGUCUUGUGCACCACUUUUUCAUGACAAAAAUAGACAUGCUUUGAAGAAGCACAGAAGAAUCGGCUAAAAAGCAUUCAUAGAAAGUCUCAGAGCGGCUUAAACCUCUGCUUAUGCACAUAACAAGUGGAGUAACUUUGCUUUUGUUUUAUAUUUUUGUAUUUUUAAUUGAUAAUCAUAAAAACAAUAACUAUUGUUAGUUCUCAUAUGUGUAAAACAUACAAAUGUAUCUGCACAGUAGUACGCUUUUUGCAUGCAAAAAACCACAUGGAGGCCAAGGAAAAAAGCUACUCCUUUGAUGCAGUUGUCAUCCUUGAGAUAGUGGUGCCCGACAAGGGAUCCAACACCUUAUGUGGCUUAUCAUAUCCAGAUAAAAUCUGUUAACUUGUUUCUGUAUUUAAACCUAAAUCUGGUAGUCAUAAGAGUUGUCCAAACAUUUGGGCUUGCAGGUGGUAACACAAUCUGCAAGGAACAAUCCUAUGUCCCAAAGCCUUUUGGAAGUGGGGCCGGGGACUAUCAAAGAAGGAAAAAAAGAAAAACAAAGAAGUCUUCCAAACAUUUUCUACCAUUGUAUGUGUACAAAGCAGUUUAAGUGGAAAGUCAAAAACUUUAAGUUAAACCAAAACAUGGAAUGGGGCAAAUGAAAUAGUUGCACAAUCCGCUUAGUUUAGUCAAAGCACAUCUUAUGAGGAAAUACAAAAAUCUGUUAAAAGUAUUUAGUUUCAUAGUUAUUAAAAUGUAAUAUAAAAGGCAUUUAUGUCUUACAUCAGUUAAAGGGUAACUUUUCAAUUCUAUACUGUAUUAUAUUAAGAUAUAAAGAAAGAGUCAACUAACGAUAGGUAGUAGCCUCACAUUUGUUCACCCUCAUUCUUGUCUUCCCUUUUUCAUGUUUUUCUCUUUUCUAACAUGGUAUUAGAACAUGUUCAAAACCUAGCUGCUGUUAUCAUAAACCCUAGCAGCCACCUCUAUAAACUAAGUUCUAGUAGCCACAAACCCUACCUUAGCUGCUGGAAGCACUAAAAACCUAAUCUUCAUUGACUAUUAAUCAGUAUUCGGAGCUGAUCUUCUGGUGACCCAUCCCCUUGUUGUGGCUGUUUCAGUCUUUGUGGUCACCUUUCUGAUGUGUGUUCUCCAUGUCGUAAGAGUGUCAGUGUGGUGUUCAAGGUGCAUUGGUUUUUUCACUUGCCCUACCUAUAUAUGGAUAGGUAAAGGUACAUUUCAGAUUGAAUUUUUUUUAUUACUACAGCAGCACUGCUGCAACUAAUGAAGACAAUUAAUUCCAACAACAACAUGGGGAUUCAAAUUGUUGUGAGCUAGAACUGUGAAGGUUUAAAUUGGACCAAAGGAAAACUUAAAGCAUCUGACUGAAGAUCCACCUCUAAAAGAGUCAAAAAGGAUUUGAAGAAUGGCAGCAAAAUGACAACACAAUUAUGACCUGGUUGUGGAGUAGUAUGGAGAUAAAUGUAAAUUCUAAUUACAUUUUUGGAUACUAAGAAGUAGAUCUCCAAUGCUGUCAAAGAGAUGUAUUCACAAGAGACACAUAUUUCUAGAACAUAUCAAUUGUAUGAAAAAAAACAUUGCUGUCAACCAAAAUGGUAGCCCACUCAAUAGAGAGGAGUUGAACAUCCAUCAGGCACUUUAAUGAUAUCGAAGGGCAAUGAAGAUAAAGAGAGGAGUUUACAGUGGUCAAAUUCCUUUCUGGGCUUGAUUCAGAAUAUCAUGAGCCAAAGAACAAUAUAGUCACCAGUGAAAAACUAUCUUGUCUCAGCUAUUUGUACUGUCAUAUGUAGCAUGUUAAUGUGUCUUCCUCUUAGACUGGUUCUAGUGGUGCAUCAGCAUCAUUUUCUGUAGGUUGUGAUAGAGGUGAGAUUGAUAAGGCCAUGGUAGAGGUUCAGUGGGAGAUAAAGGUAAAAAGAAAGCAGAUAGACAGCAAUUCCAAUAAUACCAAUGGUUCUGAAAAUCAAAUUGCAGCUUCUAAACUUGACAGCAGCACCAAAGAUCCAUCAAUUAAUCCAACCAUCAGGCUAGCUCAUGUGGUAGUGAUGCUUUUCUUACCACUAGUAACUCUUCCCUCACCAUAGAUUAUUGAUAUAUGAGCACCAUUUCAUGUAACUAGUAAGUUUUCCCUUUCUUGACAAUUCCAAAAUCAACAAAAAGGUCUGUUGAAUAUAAUGUAUAUAUAGUGUACAGUCUUUCCUUUUUAAUAUAGGUUACAUGUAUGGUAGUUAGUUCUCCUAGGCUUAUAUAUAUAUAUAUAUAUUUCUCAAUUGUAAGGAGUUAAUCACAUGAAUGAGAAUUAAGGUUUUUCUUCUUUCUCUCUCUCUCAACAUGGUAUCAGAGCCAAGGAAGAAAACCUAAUUCUUUCCUGUUUCCCGUGUCAUCAACUCCGGGAAACCUUCCGGUGACCGUGUUUCUUUCCGGUCACCUUCCCCAUCUCCCAAUACUUUCCGGUCAGUCGGAUCGUUGUUAGAAACCACUCACCGCCGGCGAAAUUUUCCGGUGAAAUUUUCCGGCGAACUUUCCGGCGACUUAUUUUUCCGACACCGACCAUACCAGAAGGAGCGCCUGGAGGAGAUCUCCAACUUUUGUGAAGGCACCGGCACCAAAAGAGCAUCCACGCGCCGAUCACGCGCCAUUUUCCGUCCGGCGGCUGCAUCUCACGCGCCGGUGCGUGAGGGCGCGUGAGCCAUUUUCCGGCGACGCGCAUCCUCCUCCAGCUUCGCCUGACGCCGACCAGCCUCCCUACCUCCUUGGUUCUCCCAUCCGAGCCCUGCACGUACCUCUUUUGGGGAUUUUUGUCUCCGUCGGCCCUCCAAACAGUCUUUCCGGCGAAGCUCCGACUACUUUUUCUCCACUCCAAUCCCUGCACGUGCCUUGGGAAGUGUUCUUCUACCUUUCUGGUGGUACCACGCCGCGAUCUGAGGCCGUCUCCCUUUUUCGGUGGUGCCACGCCGCAAUCUGAAGCCGUAUUAGGGCUCUCUUAUAUCCAAACAUACUUCAUUCUCCAGAUAAGUGGAUAUGGCCCAGUCCUCUGAUUCUCCGCUGCCUCAGCCUCUGAACUCCUCCGCAUCUCAGACAUCUCAGGCUUCUAUUGCCUCUGUUGCCCAACCUGGUAAUGCCUCUGCCUGCCUUACCCACACAUCUUCUCUUGGACCCUGGAUUCUAGAUUCUGGAGCUUCUGAUCACUUAUCUGGUAAUAAGGACUUUUUCUCCUCUAUUACUACUACCUCUGCUUUACCUACUGUUACCUUAGCUAAUGGUUCUCAAACUGUGGCUAAAGGUAUUGGCUUGGCCCUUCCUCUGCCUUCUCUACCUCUCACUUCUGUCCUUUAUACUCCUGAAUGUCCUUUUAAUCUUAUUUCCAUCAGCAAACUCACUCGUACUCUUAAUUGCUCUAUUACCUUUUCUGAUAAAUUUGUGACCUUGCAAGACCGGAGUACGGGGAAGACGAUUGGCAUAGGACGUGAGUCUCAAGGCCUCUAUCACCUCACCUCGGAUUCAUCUGCUGCAGUUUGCAUUUCCACUGAUGCUCCUCUCCUCAUUCACAAUCGUCUGGGUCAUCCUAGUCUCUCCAAGUUCCAGAAGAUGGUCCCUCGUUUUUCCACUUUGUCGUCGCUUCCGUGUGAGUCAUGUCAGCUUGGGAAACAUACUCGUGUCUCGUUCCCAAAGCGUUUGAAUAAUCGGGCAAAGUCUCCUUUUGAGCUUGUCCACACUGAUGUUUGGGGUCCUUGUCGGACUGCGUCUACUUUAGGAUUUCAGUAUUUUGUCACUUUCAUUGAUGACUAUUCUCGAUGUACUUGGUUAUUUUUAAUGAAAAAUCGAGCUGAGUUAUUCUCUAUUUUCCAGAAAUUUUAUGCUGAAAUCCAAACCCAGUUCAAUAUUUCUAUUCGUGUGUUACGCAGUGACAAUGCCAGAGAAUAUUUUUCAGCCCCAUUUACUUCGUUUAUGUCUCAUCAUGGGAUUCUUCAUCAGUCUUCUUGUGCUUAUACUCCUCAACAAAAUGGGGUAGCUGAACGCAAGAAUCGACAUCUUGUUGAGACAGCUCGUACUAUCCUCCUCCAUAGUAAUGUUCCUUUUCGUUUUUGGGGGGACGCUGUUCUUACCGCUUGUUAUUUGAUUAAUCGUAUGCCCUCCUCUGUCUUACACGAUCAAAUUCCUCACUCCCUUCUUUUCCCUGACCAACCACUUUAUUUCCUUCCUCCUCGUGUCUUUGGUUGUACUUGCUUUGUUCAUAUUCUCACUCCUGGACAGGACAAGCUUUCCGCCAAAGCCAUGAAGUGCCUCUUCUUGGGAUAUUCCAAACUUCAGAAGGGUUAUCGUUGUUAUUCCCUUGAGACUCAUCGAUACUUUAUCUCCGCUGAUGUCACUUUCUUUGAGGACUCAUCAUUCUUUUCCACCACUUCUGAGUCUCUUCCUGUUUCUGAAGUCUUGCCCCUUCCCAUUGUCUCCCCAACUGAUGUCGUGCCUCCUCGACCACUUAAGGUUUAUCAUCGUCGCCCUUGUGUCGCUGCUCCUCUCCCUUUUGUUGAGGCACCUGCUGACUCACUUCCUACCCCUUCGGCUUCUCCUGCCCCGGCUCUACCUUCUCCUGAUGAUUUACCCAUUGCUAUUCGGAAAGGUACUCGCUCUACUCGUAAUCCUCAUCCUAUUUACAAUUUUUUGAGUUAUCAUCGAUUAUCUUCACCCUAUUCUGCUUUUGUUUCUGCUAUAUCCUCUGUUUCUCUUCCAAAGAGCACCCAUGAAGCUCUUUCCCAUCCAGGCUGGCGACAGACAAUGGUGGAUGAAAUGGCUGCUCUGCACUCUAAUGGCACUUGGGAUCUUGUUUUUUACCCUCUGGUAAAUCUACAGUUAGCUGUCGUUGGGUCUACGCAGUUAAGGUUGGUCCUGAUGGUCAGGUUGAUCGCCUUAAGGCCCGCUUAGUUGCUAAAGGCUAUACUCAGGUUUAUGGUUCUGAUUAUGGUGACACAUUCUCCCCUGUUGCCAAGAUUGCUUCUGUCCGUCUGCUUCUCUCCAUGGCUGCUAUGUGUUCUUGGCCUCUUUAUCAGUUAGAUAUUAAAAAUGUCUUCCUUCAUGGUGAUCUUGUCGAGGAAGUUUAUAUGGAGCAACCUCCUGGUUUUGUUGUUCAGGGGGAGUCUGGUUUAGUGUGCAGGUUACGCCGUUCUCUAUAUGGCUUGAAACAAUCUCCUCGAGCAUGGUUUGACCGUUUUAGCUCUGUUGUUCAAGAGUUUGGCAUGCUUCGCAGUACAGCAGACCAUUCAGUUUUCUAUCAUCAUAACUCCUUGGGGCAGUGUAUUUAUCUGGUUGUUUAUGUGGACGACAUCGUCAUUACAGGUAGUGAUCAGGAUGGUAUUCAGAAACUAAAGCAACAUCUUUUUACCCACUUUCAGACUAAAGACUUGGGGAAACUCAAGUAUUUCUUGGGAAUUGAGAUAGCUCAAUCCAGUUCCGGUGUGGUCCUUUCCCAAAGGAAGUAUGCUUUAGACAUCCUGGAAGAAACCGGUAUGUUAGACUGUAAACCGGUAGACACACCUAUGGAUCCGAAUGUCAAACUUGUAUCAGGACAGGGGGAGCCUUUAGGAGACCCUGGGAGAUAUCGACGACUUGUAGGUAAAUUGAACUACCUCACCAUUACUCGUCCAGACAUUUCUUUUCCUGUGAGUGUUGUUAGUCAAUUCCUACAGUCACCAUGUGAUAGCCAUUGGGAUGCCGUAAUCCGCAUUCUUCGAUAUAUCAAAAGCACACCAGGCCAAGGUGUGUUGUACGAGAACAGAGGUCAUACUCAGGUUGUUGGUUACACAGAUGCAGAUUGGGCUGGCUCACCCACAGAUAGACGUUCCACUUCAGGGUACUGUGUUUUUAUUGGAGGUAAUCUAAUAUCUUGGAAGAGUAAGAAACAAGAUGUAGUGGCCAGAUCUAGCGCUGAAGCCGAGUAUCGAGCUAUGGCUCUGGCAACAUGUGAACUCAUAUGGUUGAGACAUCUUCUUCAAGAGUUGAGAUUUAGAAAGGAUGAACAGAUGAAACUCAUCUGUGAUAACCAGGCCGCAUUACAUAUUGCAUCUAAUCCAGUCUUUCAUGAAAGGACUAAGCAUAUUGAAGUUGACUGUCACUUCAUUAGAGAGAAGAUCGCAUCAGGAUGUGUUGCUACAAGUUUUGUUAAUUCAAAUGAUCAACUAGCAGACAUCUUCACUAAAUCUCUCAAAGGUCCUAGGAUUAAAUACAUUUGUAACAAGCUUGGUGCAUAUGACAUAUAUGCUCCAGCUUGAGGGGGAGUGUUGAAUAUAAUGUAUAUAUAGUGUACAGUCUUUCCUUUUUAAUAUAGGUUACAUGUAUGGUAGUUAGUUCUCCUAGGCUUGUAUAUAUAUAUAUAUUUCUCAAUUGUAAGGAGUUAAUCACAUGAAUGAGAAUUAAGGUUUUUCUUCUUUCUCUCUCUCUCAACAAGGUCAUUUGUUACUCUGACUGAUAGAUCUUCUUCACCUAUUUUAGGCCAAGGUGGUUCACCAAACACCAUUUUCUACUAUAAAAUCUUGUAACUAGGACAAUAUUUCUGAUAUAUGUCUAGCAUGAUUUGACCAGUUGUAUUAUUGGGGAGUAACAUACUAGAAAGACAGUUAUGAUAUAAAUUGGAUAUGAUAGGCAUUAGCCAGCAUGUGAAUAAAGUAUACAAACCAC
rnacentral:lncRNA from 1 species